UCGGUUGAUCCUGCCGGACCUGACUGCUAUCUGAUUGGUACUAAGCCAUGCGAGUCGUUGUAGCAAUACAAGGCGGACUGCUCAGUAACACGUAGUUAACUUAACCUAUGGAUGGGAAUAACCUCGGGAAACUGAGAAUAAUACCCAAUGGACCACAGUGCCUGGAAUGGCCUGUGGUUGAAAUGAUUUAUCGCCGUAGGAUAGGACUGCGGCCUAUCAGCUUGUUGGUGAGGUAAUGGCCCACCAAGGCUAUAACAGGUACGGGCUCUGAGAGGAGGGGCCCGGAGAUGGGUACUGAGACACGGACCCAGGCCCUAUGGGGCGCAGCAGGCGAGAAACCUUUGCAAUGUGCGAAAGCACGACAAGGUUAAUCCGAGUGUCUCCUGCUAAAGGAGUCUUUUGUCAGUUGUAGAAUCACUGGUGAAUAAGGGGUGGGCAAGUCCUGGUGUCAGCCGCCGCGGUAAAACCAGCACCUCGAGUGGUCGGGAGGUUUAUUGGGCCUAAAGCAUCCGUAGCCGGUUGCAUAAGUUUUCGGUUAAAUCUAUGCGCUUAACGUAUAGGCCGC
rnacentral:rRNA from 1 species